rnacentral:rRNA from 1 species
CUUCAGGGCUGAACAUGGAGUCGAGAGCGCCCUUCGGGGUGAGCGGGGUACGGGUUGAUAACGCGUGGGAAUAUACCCUUUGGUACGGAAUAGCCUCUGGAAACGGAGAGAAAUACUGUAUGAAUCCUUCGGGGGAAAGAUUUAUCGCCAAAGGAGUAGCCCGCGUUAGAUUAGGUAGUUGGUGGGGUAAUGGCCUACCAAGCCUACGAUCUAUAACUGGUUUUAGAGGAUGAACAGUAACCCUGGGACUGAAACACGGCCCAGACUCCUACGGGAGGUAGCUGUGGGGAAUCUUGGACAAUGGGGGCAACCCUGAUCCAGCCAUGCCGCGUGAGUGUUGAAGGCCUUAGGGUCAUAAAGCUCUUUCGCCUGUGAAGAUAAUGAAGGUAGCAGGUAAAGAAACCCCGGCUAACUCCGUGCCAGCAGCCGCGGUAAUACUGAGGGUGUUAUCGUUGUUCGGUAUUACUGGUCGUAGACGCACGUAGGCGGAUCGGAUUGUUGGGUUGAAAGCCCGGGGCUCAACCCCGGAACUGCCUUAAAUUAUCGGUCUAAAGUGCGAGAGAGGUGAUAGAAAUUCAAGUGAGAGAUG